rnacentral:lncRNA from 1 species
UUGCUCAAAGAAUUGCAACUAAAGUUCCCUUUUCAGAGAUUUUGAAUGAAGUAAGGGAAUCUGUCACUGAAUCAGAUGUAUACAGACGGCAUCUUGUAACACGUAAAGACUUACAUAACAUUGAAAAGGGGUUUAACCUAAGUUCUUUUACUAUCAGACAUCCUAAUGAUGCAAUCAGUGUUGAAUCCUGGAUUAAUGAAAUGAAACAAAAGCAAAAUUGCAUUUUGUUUUAUAAACCACAAGGAGCUAUACUAGAUGAAGAGCCCCAAUUAAAAGCAAAUGAUUUUGUUUUAAUUAUAAUGACUCCUGCUCAAAAGGAAUUUUUAUUAAAAUUUGGUUCUGAUGUAAUAUGCAUGGAUGGGACACAUGGCUUAAAUAGUUACAAUUUUGAAUUGACAACACUUUUAGUUUUGGACAAUCUUCGGGAAGGGUUUCCAUGCAGUUUUCUUAUUUCAAACCGUUCAGAUAAAGAAAUAAUGGUAUUGUUUUUAACAAAAAUAAGAAAUGAAACAUCAUUCAUAAAACCAGCAAUAUUCAUGUCUGACAUGGCAGAAACUUAUUAUAAUUCUUGGAUAGAAACAAUGGAAGUUCCAGAAAGAAGGUUAUACUGUUCGUGGCAUGUCUUACGUGCAUGGAGAAAGAACUUAAUGAAAAUAAAACUAAAAGAAAAACAGGUAGGUGUAAAGAGCUUUACUGUUCUGAAUUCUUUAAAAGAGAAACAUUUUAGGAGGAAGUUUUUACAACACUACGGGCGUUAAUGGAAGAACGAGAUGAACAAGUUUUAUAUAGAAUGCUACAAAUUUUUUUAAACUCAACAGACACAGAUAUUAAAGAUUUCAUUAAAUAUUUUAAAGACAAUUAUAGUAACAACAUUAGAAAUUGGGCAUAUGCAUUCAGAUUAAAUUGUGGUAUCAAUACUAACAUGCAUUUAGAGAGAUUGCAUAAAACAAUUAAAUAUCUGUAUAUGAAAGGGAAGAAGGUUAAGAGAUUGGACAAAGCUAUUGUUGCUCUUAUGACUCUUAUAAGAGAUAAAUUUUUUGACAAACUUAUUUCCGGACAUAAAGGCAAGAUUUGUAGCAAAAUAAAGGAAAUAAGAAAAAGACAUAAAGCUUCAGAAUAUUUAUAGCUAAUCAUGUAAUAAUAAAGACUGAAAAUGGUUGGAAAAUACCAUCAAAGAAUACCAAAGAAUUGUACUAUGUCGAAAAAGCAGGUAUAAUAUGUAAUAAUUGUCAGUUAAAAUGUACAGAAUGCCAAAUUUGUAUUCAUUUCUACAAAUGCACAUGUCUCGAUUCAGCCAUAAAGUACAAUAUGUGUAAACAUAUUCAUGCUGUUGCUGGUUUGAUGUAUAGUGAAAAUAUUGCUGAUAAUGGUAAGCAUAUUAAAUAGUGUUUCUUUAAUUUCGUUUUUCUGUUAUAUUUUGAUUUUAUAUUUGGAUAUAUGCAGGAGCCUCAAGCUGUACCUACUUCAAUCCCAGACUUUUAGGAAAGAUGAAUUCUACUGCUACUCAUCAAAAAUUAUACAAAUAAGUAUCUUUUUAAGGUUUUUGGUAGUACAUAAUUGGUGAUGGCAAAUGUACCUAAUUGGUGAUGGUGUAUUUUGUAAUUGUAGUUUUGGCUAUUUUUUUACUAGACUGCUGGGAAGCUGGUUUUGGUUAUUUCUUUUUUUUUUGUUAUUAGAUGUCCGUAUGAGACAUACAGAGUUUUUACAAAGAAUAAGUUUUUUUUCUUUGUCUCUUAUAAUAUAUGGAGAUGAUAUAGAAUAUAUAAUAUAUUCUUCCAUUUGAUUCUUUUAAAAUCUACAAUAAUAUUUUUUCUAGGACCACAAGAAUAGAGACGGAGGCUAAUGAAGUUAGUGAAAGAUCUCUUAUUUUACGUGAAAUUAGUGGCAAUAAAUUAAAGUCAAAAAUGGAUGAGGAAAAACAGGCAGAACUAAUUAGACUUAAAAAACAUUUUGAACAAAUUAAAACGCCAGAAGAAUGGGAAAUUUAUAAAAAGAUAAUAGCUCCCUUAUCGCCCACUUUAGCUGCAACAAGAUCAUCUGUUACGCAAUUUCCAGUACUUUCAAAUGAGCCUCACAAUAAAAAAAUUAAAGUUCAGAGGGCAUUGUUCUCCACAAAGAAAAAAAGCAAAAAAUCAAAAAAACAAUAGAAGUGAAAUGAUAUCUAUGAAUAUUUAUUUAAAAAUUUUAAAUCAAUAUUGUUCAUCAUCUUCUGAUUUCCAUUCACUCCUAUUUAAUCACCUGUUCUUGUGAAUCUCUAUUUCUUAUGUUAGCUAUGUUCUUCAUAGUGUUAUUCAGUUUAUGGUUUCCACUCAUUCUUUUUUGAUAUUAGUUGGUAAUUUUCAGAACAUAUCCGUCACCCUAUCAUUUGUUUGCUGCAACAUUGUCUUCUGUUUGGAUUUUAAAUUCUUUUCAUGCUAGAACUUCUAGCAGACAUACAGUUCAGUUGCUUUUGUACACUUUUUGUUUUCUCUUAAAGAGCUGGCAUACCACCUUGGACCUUGCCAUCAUAAAUAUAUGUUUUAUGAUGUAAAAUACUAUUUACCACAAAAAUACCAUUAGUGGACAAAUUCAUGUCUAGUUACUUGAAAGAACAAAAACAAGUUGAGUAUAAGUGUAUUAUAUAUAGUAUUAAGUAUAUUUUUAGAAAUUAGUUUGGUGAUAGUUAGAAAGUUAAAGACAUAGUGAUAAUAGUAAAGGUAAUUGUAAGGAUAAAUGUAACUAUGGGAAUAAUAAUAUUGGUGAUAAUGGUGAUGGUCGUAAUAGUAGAAAUAAAACAAAACAGAAAAUUAACAUUUGAACAUAGAAUAUGAGGGCUAUGUCAAAUAUAUGCAAAAAGUAUGUAUGUAUUAUGUAUACCAAGAAUUAAAUUUAAAAUUGAAAUAUUAGCACUGUAGGAAAGUAGAUGGAGGAAAGGAGACAAUAAAAAAAUUAGUUACAGAUCAAUAUAUAUGUAGGAAAAUAAAAUAAGCCCAACAAGGAGUAGGAUUCAUGACAUCUAGCAGCCAGCAAGACCACAGAUGAUAGAUAAUUAGGGGCUACACAAGCAGCAGUAGAUGAAGAAAAGGACAAUAUUUAUGAACGCUUGAAAAGUGAAAUCAUAAAAAUGAUAUCCAGUUAAUAUGACAUAGUAUCCAGUUAUGUAUGGAUGAUUAUAUCACUAAUGUAGCUGCAAACAUACAAUCAAUGAAUAAACAGAUAAUAAUCGAUACCAACUAAGCCUAGAUAUUAGCAGAGCAACAAAUAUGACAACAUACAUUAAGCAAAAACAGCAAGGUUAGUAUGAAUUAGAACAAAUAUCGAGGAAGAUAAGAAGGGAUACAAAGGGGUAGUAAGAGAAACUUGAUGAAAACAAAUAAUUGAAACCAUAAAUGAUAGUUAAACUAACAACUCAAAAUGUUCUAUAAAAAAACCAAAGAACAGAACAUCAGUUGUAAACUAUACACAAGUAUAAGCAACUAGCAUUAAAAAUAAAAAGAAGACGUAAAGAAUGAAGAGUUAUUGAGAAAGAAGUAAAAUGUAUGUUAGAUUAAGAGGAAUAACUUCAAAAACAACUAUUAAACAAGAAAAAAGUAGAAGAUGUGGAAAUAGAUGAAAUUAAUGAAAUCAUGAUGUAACAAUAAAGCACCAGGUACAGAUAUAAUAGCGUAUAAUUAUGCAAAGAUGAAGACAAAACAAAAUGUUACAAAGUGAUAUACAACAAGGCAAUACCACGGAAUGUAACAAUUCUACAGGUAAAGCUCUCUCUCAAUAUGUCAUAUAAAGUGUAAUCAACUAUUGUAUAAAAAAGAUGCAAUACACAGAGUAAAACAAGUAGUGGAAAAAUCAUGAUUACCAAAUGGGAAAAGUAGCCAAACCAUGAACGGGUCAAAUAGGGAUAUUCACUAUUAUACUGUUUAAUGUAGUGCUACAAAAGGCAAUAAAGAAAAUGAAUAAAAGGAUGAUAAGAUCAAGAGCUGAACAAACAGUGUCCUUUCUGGUGAUAUAGUUAUAAUAGCAAAGAGGAGAGAUAUGCUGGCACAAAUGUUGCAAGAAGUAAGUUCUGAAGAAGCAAUGAUUUGACUUAAAAUAAAUGAACGGAACAAAAAUAAAUGGGAAUUGAUAAUGAUAUUGAAAAUAAAAUAAUAAAAAUGGAAGUAUGGAAUUUCAAGAAGUAGUUAACGUUAAGUACUUAAGAGUUUUCAAAUGAAAUGAGCAAAAACAUUUAUUAUUAAAUGUAUAUGUUUAUAAUUUGUGGAGCCAUUUUAAGUUUUAUAAGAGGAACUGUGUUCUAUGCAUUUUCUAGAUCAACACAUAGUACGUACAAGUAUUUCCUUAUCACAGGCUUCAUUCUUUUCCACCAACUGUUAUUAGCUCCACAUUGUAGCUUCCGAUGAUUAGCCGUAAAUUCUUAUGUAAAUUAAACGUGCCAUUCCAGAUGAGCGAUAGUGGCCAGCCACUGUUGCCAAUCCACGCCACUGUUCCAUUAUAAAAUCAUGUUUCAGCCACUUUGUGCUUUGUGGAUCCACAAUCCACAGAGUAGCUCUGCAAAGUAGUUCAUCUGUUUUUGACCUAAGUAAUCCGCUGUAGACCUAUCUGUAUUUGUUGAUGAUGUACGUUGAUGGAUAUACUUAUUUUAUCUCUAGUAAACCAAGUGAAUGGUUAUCUUAACCAUAUACUGUUCUCUAUCAAAUAAAUGAUGCAUCUUAUCCUAAUUUCAUAAAUAAUAUUUUGAAAGUUCUUGUAAUAACUGCCUGGUAUGAUCUUCAAUUUUUAUAGUUUUAUUAUAAUUUUCCUAGAAAACAGUUACUUUUUAAACAAACCUUUUUUAUUUUCCUAAAGUUGUUUUUUGUGACUUUCUAUUUUUUUAUGAGAUUGCUGUGCAUAAGCCAUCAUGUGUUUAUUAUGUGUCAUUUUGACCAUACUUAAUGCAAUUCUAUUUACCAAGGAAUUUUUAAUUCUUACACACUUCUACUUCAUCACUAGUUGUAUUCACUCAAUGUCUACCAAAUAAUCUUCCCAUGUGCCAUAUAGUAUGCUUUUUCGAAAUCACUCGGAUGAUUCAUUUCUGUACUCUGCUAUAAAUUAUUCUGUUCUAAAUUGUUAUGCUAAGUGAUUAAUAUAAUAGACCUGGAUCCCACGUAUCAAAAAAAUUAAUUAAUAGCAAGUUGAAAAUUUGUUAAUAGCUUAACUGUGUCUAGUCGGACAAACUUUGAUGUAUGGAAACACUAGAACAGGAAAAGGUUUAAUUGUGGAACGUGUCAUCCUGACAAGUUUAUGAUUGUGAAAACUAGCAGGUUGUUUUUAAGUUAAUUUAAUAGCAAACUUUAUACAACAGAUGAAAACAUGUUUGUCCGACAAAUAUGUUGGGCAUUUUAAUAUCUAACAUCCAGCACAUAGAACACGUCAAAUGAGAGGAAUUCUAUUGGUGGUAUAUAGCAGUCUGAUUUUUGCAUGAGAGUUUAAUGAAAGGGUUACAAAUCAGUUGGCAGGUCUGUCCCACAAAAUACAUGGGACGUUUUCAUAGUGUGACGUUCGAAACCUGUAACCUGUUCCAGUGUUUCCGUACAUCAAGGUUUGUCCGACUAGACACUUAAGCUAUUAACACAUUUUCAGCUUGUUAUUAAUAAACUUUUUUUCGAUACACGGAAUCCAGGCCCAUAACUCUGUUAAGUAUUUUGUUUUUAUGUUAAUAAAGCUCUGAGAUUAA